rnacentral:rRNA from 1 species
UACGUAGGUGACAAGCGUUAUCCGGAGUUACUGGCGUAAAGCGCGGGCAGGCGGUCUGACAAGUCUGAUGUGAAAGCCCUGGGCUCAACCUGGGAAUGGCAUUGGAAACUAGCGGGCUUGAGUUCGGGAGAGGGAAGCGGAAUUCCGGGUGUAGCGGUGAAAUGCGCAGAUAGUCGGGAAGAACACCCGUGGCGAAGGCGGCUCUCUGGGACGGUACUGACGCUGAGACGCGAAAGCGUGGGGAGCGAACAGG